CCUACGGGAGGCAGCAGUGGGGAAUAUUGCACAAUGGGGGAAACCCUGAUGCAGCGACGCCGCGUGAAGGAAGAAGUAUUUCGGUAUGUAAACUUCUAUCAGCAGGGAAGAAAAUGACGGUACCUGACUAAGAAGCACCGCCUAACUACGUCCCAGCAGCCGCGGGAAUCCGUAGGGGGCAAGCGUUAUCCGGAUUUACUGGGCGUAAAGAGUACGUAGGCGGUUCUUUAAGCGCAGGGUUUAAGGCGAUAGCUUAACUAUCGUUCGCCCUGUGAACUGGGGGACUUGAGUAUCGGAGAGGAAAGCGGAAUUCCUGGUGUAGCGGUGAAAUGCGUAGAUAUUAGGAGGAACACCAGUGGCGAAGGCAGCUUUCUGGACGAAAACUGACGCUGAGGUACGAAAGCGUGGGGAGCAAACAGGAUUAGAUACCCGUGUAGUC
rnacentral:rRNA from 1 species